ensembl:misc_RNA Metazoa_SRP Metazoan signal recognition particle RNA
GCUGGGCAUGGUGGUGCAUGCCUGUAAUCCCAGCUACUCAGGAGGCUGAGACAGGAGAAUUGCUUGAACCUGGGGCUUGGGACAGGUUGCAGUGAGCCGAGAUUGCACCACUGCACUUCAGCCUGGGCAACAGAGCAAGACUCUGUCUCAA